AAAAGGUGGCUAUGCUACCGCUUUUGGAUGGGCCCGCGGCGCAUUAGCUAGUUGGUGGGGUAAAGGCUUACCAAGGCAAUGAUGCGUAGCCGAACUGAGAGGUUGAUCGGCCACAUUGGGACUGAGACACGGCCCAAACUCCUACGGGAGGCAGCAGUAGGGAAUCUUCCACAAUGGGCGAAAGCCUGAUGGAGCAACGCCGCGUGGGUGAAGAAGGUCUUCGGAUCGUAAAACCCUGUUGUUAGAGAAGAAAGUGCGUGAGAGUAACUGUUCACGUUUCGACGGUAUCUAACCAGAAAGCCACGGCUAACUACGUGCCAGCAGCCGCGGUAAUACGUAGGUGGCAAGCGUUAUCCGGAUUUAUUGGGCGUAAAGGGAACGCAGGCGGUCUUUUAAGUCUGAUGUGAAAGCCUUCGGCUUAACCGGAGUAGUGCAUUGGAAACUGGGAGACUUGAGUGCAGAAGAGGAGAGUGGAACUCCAUGUGUAGCGGUGAAAUGCGUAGAUAUAUGGAAGAACACCAGUGGCGAAAGCGGCUCUCUGGUCUGAAACUGACGCUGAGGUUCGAAAGCGUGGGUAGCAAACAGGAUUAGAUACCCUGGUAGUCCACGCCGUAAACGAUGAAUGCUAAGUGUUGGAGGGUUUCCGCCCUUCA
rnacentral:rRNA from 1 species